rnacentral:rRNA from 1 species
GACGAACGCUGGCGGCGUGCUUAACACACGCAAGUCGAACGGAAAGGCCCUGCUUUUGUGGGGUGCUCGAGUGGCGAACGGGUGAGUAACACGUGAGUAACCUGCCCUUGACUUUGGGAUAACUUCAGGAAACUGGGGCUAAUACCGGAUAGGAGCUCCUGCUGCAUGGUGGGGGUUGGAAAGUUUCGGCGGUUGGGGAUGGACUCGCGGCUUAUCAGCUUGUUGGUGGGGUAGUGGCUUACCAAGGCUUUGACGGGUAGCCGGCCUGAGAGGGUGACCGGCCACAUUGGGACUGAGAUACGGCCCAGACUCCUACGGGAGGCAGCAGUGGGGAAUAUUGCACAAUGGGCGGAAGCCUGAUGCAGCAACGCCGCGUGCGGGAUGACGGCCUUCGGGUUGUAAACCGCUUUCGCCUGUGACGAAGCGUGAGUGACGGUAAUGGGUAAAGAAGCACCGGCUAACUACGUGCCAGCAGCCGCGGUGAUACGUAGGGUGCGAGCGUUGUCCGGAUUUAUUGGGCGCAAAGGGCUCGUAGGUGGUUGAUCGCGUCGGAAGUGUAAUCUUGGGGCUUAACCCUGAGCGUGCUUUCGAUACGGGUUGACUUGAGGAAGGUAGGGGAGAAUGGAAUUCCUGGUGGAGCGGUGGAAUGCGCAGAUAUCAGGAGGAACACCAGUGGCGAAGGCGGUUCUCUGGGCCUUUCCUGACGCUGAGGAGCGAGAGCGUGGGGAGCGAACAGGCUUAGAUACCCUGGUAGUCCACGCUGUAAGCGGUGGGUACUAGGUGUGGGGUCCAUUCCACGGGUUCCGUGCCGUAGCUAACGCUUUAAGUACCCCGCCUGGGGAGUACGGCCGCAAGGCUAAAACUCAAAGGAAUUGACGGGGCCCCGCACAAGCGGCGGAGCAUGCGGAUUAAUUCGAUGCAACGCGUAGAACCUUACCUGGGUUUGACAUGGAUCGGGAGUGCUCAGAGAUGGGUGUGCCUCUUUUGGGGUCGGUUCACAGGUGGUGCAUGGCUGUCGUCAGCUCGUGUCGUGAGAUGUUGGGUUAAGUCCCGCAACGAGCGCAACCCUUGUUCACUGUUGCCAGCACGUUAUGGUGGGGACUCAGUGGAGACCGCCGGGGUCAACUCGGAGGAAGGUGGGGAUGACGUCAAGUCAUCAUGCCCCUUAUGUCCAGGGCUUCACGCAUGCUACAAUGGCUGGUACAGAGAGUGGCGAGCCUGUGAGGGUGAGCGAAUCUCGGAAAGCCGGUCUCAGUUCGGAUUGGGGUCUGCAACUCGACCUCAUGAAGUCGGAGUCGCUAGUAAUCGCAGAUCAGCAACGCUGCGGUGAAUACGUUCCCGGG